rnacentral:rRNA from 1 species
UACGUAGGGGGCAAGCGUUGUCCGGAAUCAUUGGGCGUAAAGAGCGUGUAGGCGGCUCGGUAAGUCCGCUGUGAAAGUCCAGGGCUCAACCCUGGAAUGCCGGUGGAACUGUCGAGCUAGAGUCCGGAAGAGGCGAGUGGAAUUCCUGGUGUAGCGGUGAAAUGCGCAGAUAUCAGGAGGAACACCAAUGGCGAAGGCAGCUCGCUGGACGGUACUGACGCUGAGACGCGAAGCGUGGGAGCAAACAGG